UUCGUAGGCGGUGCGGCAAGUUGGGAGUGAAAUCUCUGGGCUUAACCCAGAGGCUGCUUCCAAAACUGCUGUGCUUGAGUGUGGGAGAGGCGCGUGGAAUUGCAGGUGUAGCGGUGAAAUGCGUAGAUAUCUGCAGGAACACCCGUGGCGAAAGCGGCGCGCUGGACCACAACUGACGCUGAGGAACGAAAGCUAGGGGAGCAAACAGGAUUAGAUACCCUGGUAGUCCUAGCCCUAAACGAUCAGGACUUGGGGUGCCGCCCGUUCGGGCGUCGUCCCGGAGCUAACGCGUUAAGUCCUGCACCUGGGGAGUACGGUCGCAAGACUGAA
rnacentral:rRNA from 1 species